UCUCCUAAGGACGAUUAGAGAGGCAAAGAAGGAGAAUGGCGAAGACUUACAAGAGACUCAAAGGAAGCCGGAACAUGAGGCAGAGGCUCUUAUUGGCUACGCUUUCCUCAACUUCCAUUCUCAUUGAAGACAUCCGCGCCGACGACACUUUCCCCGGACUUCAGCCUCACGAAAUCUCCCUUCUCCGCCUGCUCGAGAAAGUCUCCGAUGAUUGCACCAUCGAAAUAAACGAAACGGGGACGAAAUUGAAGUAUGAGCCUGGGAUCUUGAUGGGAGGGAAGAAUCUGGUGCACGACUGUGGUGUUAGUCGAUCCAUUGGUUAUUUCUUGGAGCCUCUGCUUGUGCUUGGGUUGUUUGGCAAAAAACCUCUUUCCAUCAGGCUUAAAGGCAUUACAAACGAUUCAAAGGAUCCAUGUGUUGAUACAUUUCGUUCUACUACCCUACCACUCUUGAAGCGUUUCGGGGUUCCUUCAGAAGGAUUAGAGUUGAAGAUAGUGAGUCGUGGAGCUCCACCUCGAGGUGGUGGGGAAGUUUUCUUCUCGGUUCCUGUUGUUCAAUGUUUAACGGCAGUUACUUGGAUAGAUGAGGGAAUGGUUAAGAGGAUUAGAGGGGUUACUUUUUCUGCAAAAGUGUCUUCUGACUUUGAACAUUCUAUGAGAUAUGCUGCUCGUGGAAUCUUUAAUAACUUGCUUCCUGAUGUUCAUCUCUUUAGUGAUCAUAAAGCUGGUCCACAAGCUGGAAACUCACCUGGUUAUGGAAUUUCAGUUGUCGCGGAAACUACUUCUGGUUGCUUCAUCUCUGCUGAUACUGCAGUCUGUUAUGACCAGGGAGAAGAAACUGGUGAAAUGGAAGAUGUGGAAAGGAAGGAGGUGAUCCCUCCGGAGGAUACUGGCGUGCAAAUUGCUUCUUUUCUUCUGGAAGAGAUUGCCCAGGGUGGAGUGGUAGAUUCGACGCACCAGGGUUUGUUGUUUCUUCUUUGUGCAUUAUGCCCGCAGGAUAUCUCGAAGGUUCGUGUUGGGAAGCUCUCACCUUACGGAAUAGAAACACUCAGAAACAUUGGAGAUUUCUUGGGUGUUAAAUUUGUAAUAAAGCCAGAUCCUUCAACUGAGACAGUUAUUCUUAAAUGUGUUGGAUGCGGGUUGAAGAACCUAUCCAGAAAGGUCUCGUGAUUACUAGGGCUAUGUAACUGUACGCAUUGAUGGCUCCAGUUUUGCAGAGGCGUGUAGCCUUGUCAAGGGGCCUUGAUGAGGAUAUCUCAGCCAGAGAUGAGCCAGUGGCUUCCAGUUGUGUGCUCGUGUUAAGACUGAACCAAACAAGGGGCAGGGAUCUUAUUGUAUACUGAUGGUGUUUCAUCUGGUGCUGUCAAGGAAGAGAUUUGGGCAUGGGAUGAGGUUUGUAAUAAAAGAGAAUUUGUAAACUUGAUUUCUUUAACUAUAUUUUGAGUUUUAUGAAGGGAAAGAAAUAGUAGGCUUUCGGGUUGUAGAAUUAGAGAUAAAUAGUUUUAUUAUUUUGGAUCAUGACAUUAUUGGGGAUGAAGAUUUUGAGAAUGUCAUUGAUACAUUAACACUAAACAA